rnacentral:rRNA from 1 species
GAUGAACGCUGGCGGCGUGCCUAAUACAUGCAAGUCGAGCGAACAGACGAGGAGCUUGCUCCUCUGACGUUAGCGGCGGACGGGUGAGUAAAACGUGGAUAACCUACCUAUAAGACUGGGAUAACUUCGGGAAACCGGAGCUAAUACCGGAUAACAUGUUGAACCGCAUGGUUCAACAGUGAAAGACGGUCUUGCUGUCACUUAUAGAUGGAUCCGCGCCGCAUUAGCUAGUUGGUAAGGUAACGGCUUACCAAGGCAACGAUGCGUAGCCGACCUGAGAGGGUGAUCGGCCACACUGGAACUGAGACACGGUCCAAACUCCUACGGGAGGCAGCAGUAGGGAAUCUUCCGCAAUGGGCGAAAGCCUGACGGAGCAACGCCGCGUGAGUGAUGAAGGUCUUCGGAUCGUAAAACUCUGUUAUUAGGGAAGAACAAAUGUGUAAGUAACUAUGCACGUCUUGACGGUACCUAAUCAGAAAGCCACGGCUAACUACGUG